rnacentral:rRNA from 1 species
UACGUAGGGGGCUAGCGUUGUCCGGAAUCAUUGGGCGUAAAGAGCGUGUAGGCGGUCCGGUAAGUCCGCUGUGAAAGUCAAAGGCUCAACCUUUGAAAGCCGAUGGAUACUGCCGGGCUAGAGUCCGGAAGAGGCGAGUGGAAUUCCUGGUGUAGCGGUGGAAUGCGCAGAUAUCAGGAGGAACACCGAUAGCGAAGGCAGCUUGCUGGGACGGUACUGACGCUGAGACGCGAAAGCGUGGGGAGCAAACAGG